UAGGGAAUAUUGCAAAAUGUGCGAAAGCCCGAUGCAGCAACGCCGCGUGGGCGAUGAAGGCCUUCGGGUCGUAAAGCCCUUUUUGAGGGGAUGAGGAAGGACAGUACCCUCAGAAUAAGCCUCGGCUAACUACGUGCCAGCAGCCGCGGUAAAACGUAGGAGGCGAGCGUUAUCCGGAUUUACUGGGCGUAAAGCGCGUGCAGGCGGAUUGGAGAGUUGGAUGUGAAAGCUCCCGGCUUAACUGGGAGAGGUCGUUCAAUACUUCCAGUCUUGAGUGCAGUAGAGGGAAGUGGAAUUCCGGGUGUAGUGGUGAAAUGCGUAGAUAUCCGGAGGAACACCAGUGGCGAAAGCGGCUUCCUGGACUGUAACUGACGCUCAGACGCGAAAGCUAGGGUAGCAAACG
rnacentral:rRNA from 1 species